UGAAAAACUAGUUAAAUUAUAACAUAAGGUUGUCAUUCUUAAAUUACAUUAGUGUUUUUUAU
rnacentral:tRNA from 1 species